UAUGAUAAUAAACGGGUGAUCGCAGUGA
rnacentral:piRNA from 1 species